rnacentral:rRNA from 1 species
AGUUUGAUCCUGGCUACAGAACGAACGCUGGCGGCAUGCCUAACACAUGCAAGUCGAACGAGACCUUCGGGUCUAGUGGCGCACGGGUGCGUAACGCGUGGGAAUCUGCCCUGGGGUGCGGAAUAACUCGGAGAAAUCCGUGCUAAUACCGCAUAAUGUCUUCGGACCAAAGAUUUAUCGCCCUGGGAUGAGCCCGCGUAGGAUUAGCUAGUUGGUGGGGUAAAGGCCUACCAAGGCGACGAUCCUUAGCUGGUCUGAGAGGAUGAUCAGCCACACUGGGACUGAGACACGGCCCAGACUCCUACGGGAGGCAGCAGUGGGGAAUAUUGGACAAUGGGCGAAAGCCUGAUCCAGCAAUGCCGCGUGAGUGAUGAAGGCCCUAGGGUUGUAAAGCUCUUUUACCCGGGAUGAUAAUGACAGUACCGGGAGAAUAAGCUCCGGCUAACUCCGUG